UACGUAGGGUGCAAGCGUUAAUCGGAAUUACUGGGCGUAAAGCGUGCGCAGGCGGUUUUGUAAGUCUGAUGUGAAAUCCCCCGGGCUCAACCUGGGAAUUGCAUUGGAGACUGCAAGGCUGGAGUCUGGCAGAGGGGGGGUAGAAUUCCACGUGUAGCAGUGAAAUGCGUAGAUAUCAUCUGGAACGCCAAUGGUGAAGACAGCUCGGCUGGGGGGUGUACUGAC
rnacentral:rRNA from 1 species